rnacentral:rRNA from 1 species
UACGUAGGGUGCGAGCGUUAAUCGGAAUUACUGGGCGUAAAGCGUGCGCAGGCGGUUUUGUAAGACAGAGGUGAAAUCCCCGGGCUCAACCGGGGAACUGCCUUUGUGACUGCAAGGCUUGAGUGCGGCAGAGGGGGAUGGAAUUCCGCGUGUAGCAGUGAAAUGCGUAGAUAUGCGGAGGAACACCGAGGGCGAAGGCAAUCCCCUGGGCCUGCACUGACGCUCAUGCACGAAAGCGUGGGGAGCAAACAGG